AACGAACGCUGGCUGCAGGCCUAACACAUGCAAGUCGAACGAACCUUUCGGGUUUAGUUGCGUUGGUGUGAGUAACCCGUGGGAACAUGCCUUUAUGUUCGACAUACCUCAGGUAACCUUGUACUAAUACCGAAUGUGCCCUUCGGGGGGAUGAUUUAUCGCCUUUAGAGCGGCCGGCGGCUGAUUAGCUAGUUGGUUCAGGUAAGGGCCCACCAAGGCGUCGAUCAGUGGCUCGUCUGCGAGGAUGGUCAGCGACAUAGGGACUGAGACACGGCCCAAACACGAACGGGAGGCAGCAGUGGGGAAUCUGGCGCAAUGGGCGAGAGCGUGACGUAGCCAUGCCGUGGGAAGGAUGAAGGUUUUAGGAGGGUAAAAUUCUGUCACCGGGUACGAUAAUGACGGUACCCGGAGAAGAAGCCCCGGCUAACUUCGUG
rnacentral:rRNA from 1 species